UUUUCUUUCUUUCUUAUCUCUCUCUCUCUGCCCCCGUCUUCACCCCUCUUUGGCUCUCUCUCCCUCACCCUUUAUUCCUACCAUUUUCUUUCUUUCUUAUCUCUCUCCCUCCCCUUCUAUCUUCAUCCCUCCCUGGCUUUCUCUCUCUGUCACCCUUUAUUCAGCCUCUCUUUUGCAAAGAAUCUCAGCACUCUAGCCAUCAUCAUCACACCAUUGCACCUCCGGCAUCCUCAGCCCACCACCAUCUUCAGUCGACGUCGGUGGCACCAUAAUCGUUGCACCACCCACAAGGAACGCCUCCCAGAUAUGUUCCCAUCGAUUUUAAUUAUCUUUUUUAAGAUCUGGGUUUUGUUAAUUUGUACAUAUUCUAUGAAAGAAAUGGUAUCUGCAGGGUAAUUUUUUUUUUCUUUUCUUGAGAUCUAGGUUUGUAAAAGUUGAGAUAUGGGUUUGUAAAAAUUGAUAUUUGAGUUGUAUUUGGAUUUCGACAGUCUAUGCCCUUCUAUAUCGCUGGCUGUAAUUCAUGGCUCGAGUCAAGAAGACGGUCUAGGUAG
rnacentral:lncRNA from 1 species